AGACUCGUAGCUCAGUGGGAGAGCAUCGCCUUGACACGGCGGGGGUCGGCGGUUCGAAACCGCCCGAGUCUA
rnacentral:tRNA from 1 species